ensembl:snRNA U6 U6 spliceosomal RNA
GUGCUUGCUUUGGCAGCACAUGUACUAAAAUUGAAACAAUACGGAGAAGAUCAGCAUGGUCUUUGCGCAAGAAUGACAUGCAAAUCUGCGAAGCGUUCCAUAUUUUU